GCUUUUUCUUUCACCGGAGCUUGCUCCAUCGAAAGAAAAAGAGUGGCGAACGGGUGAGUAACACGUGGGUAACCUGCCCAUCAGAAGGGGAUAACACUUGGAAACAGGUGCUAAUACCGUAUAACACUAUUUUCCGCAUGGAAGAAAGUUGAAAGGCGCUUUUGCGUCACUGAUGGAUGGACCCGCGGUGCAUUAGCUAGUUGGUGAGGUAACGGCUCACCAAGGCAACGAUGCAUAGCCGACCUGAGAGGGUGAUCGGCCACACUGGGACUGAGACACGGCCCAGACUCCUACGGGAGGCA
rnacentral:rRNA from 1 species